rnacentral:rRNA from 1 species
GACGAACGCUGGCGGCGUGCCUAAUACAUGCAAGUAGAACGCCGAAGCAGGAGCUUGCUUCUCUGGAUGAGUUGCGAACGGGUGAGUAACGCGUAGGUAACCUGCCCGGUAGCGGGGGAUAACUUUUGGAAACGAUAGCUAAUACCGCAUAAUAGUAGAUGUUGCAUGACAUUUGCUUAAAAGGUGCAAUUGCAUCACUACCAGACGCACCUGCGUUGUAUUAGCUAGUUGGUGAGGUAACGGCUCACCAAGGCAACGAUACAUAGCCGACCUGAGAGGGGGAUCGGCCACACUGGGACUGAGACACGGCCCAGACUCCUACGGGAGGCAGCAGUAGGGAAUCGUCGGCAAUGGACGGAAGUCUGACCGAGCAACGCCGCGUGAGUGAAGAAGGUUUUCGGAUCGUAAAGCUCUGUUGUAAGGGAAGAACAGGUGUGGGAUUGGAAGGUGCACACUGGACCGGUAUCUUACAAGAAGCAGCCGCUUACCUACGG